GGAGGUUUAAAGUUAGUCCUUGAAUGGUUCCUUCCUUGUUUUGCUGAGAUACAGAACAGGUACCACGAAUCCUACCAGGACUGAAACAUGGUCUUAGAAGACGUAAUUUCCCUAGAAUCCUUGGCUCUGAAAGAUCUCCAUUUGCAUUUUUUAUGUGUUUCUUUUUCCCUAGACGACAUGCAUACCAGUACCCUGCCAUUCUUCCCAAUACCCCUGUCUGUAGGACGGCAAAGGAGUAAGGAACACCCAGUUCAUCUUCAACCAGAGUGAACGGUCCCUUUCAUGUACGCGUCGGGGUUCAGGCAAUUCAGCCAGGGCCUAAGGUGUAUUUAUUUGGGCUCCUUCUGACUCUAUUUUAGCUCUGCAGGAAGGGAUCAGGCUUUUUAUUCCACUUUUAUUCCUCACUUUUAUGUUUCAGUUCAGAAUCUUUCUGGCUCAGAGAACGGGGACAGCAGCAAAACAACAACAACAACAACAAAACAAAUGAGAAGGUACAGGAAAUGACAUCAGCACCUCAAAGCCCUGGUGCCGCCUCUGUCUCAGGCAGAAUGGGAAGGAAGGGAGGCCAGGGAAGAGUCACUGUCACCUAAGGACAAAGUCUUUUCAGCAAGAGGCAGAUGAAAGGAAAUGGUGGUAAAUAACACACAUCCUCAAAACAGACAUAAAUCAGAGCUGAGAUUCCAUCCUGGUGUUCUGGUGACAUGAACCAGGAGAACAAAGCCGAGGGAGAUCUUAAAAUGUCAUCGCCUGGCUUCUCUGAGGAGUUAUAGCUUUGUUAUUUACUAUGCAGAGGCAGAGAUGUGAGAUUCCUCAGGUUUGGCAGAGCUGGUGGUCUUUCAGGUCGCUGUCCUGCUGGUCUCCAUUCCACAUCACCACAUCCAUUUGAGUGGCUCAUCAGUGAUUUGCUAGAAGUGGGAGGAGAUCUCUCUUUCUGUCUCUCUCUCUCUCUCUCUCUCUCUCUCUUUCUCUCUCUCUCUCUCUCUCUCUCAAGGUGAACUAUCCAGGAUCAGGAUGGACUAAGAAGGAAGAAGUAACGGAAUGCUGGGCAGUCAGCUGCACCAGUGAGGACCUCGAUUCAGAGAGCCACUGCACGUGUGCCAGGCACGCUGACCAAACCCCUGCCCACUCCCUCUGGCAGCGGGGAAAUUUGCUUUCAUGUCCGUGAGCUGCAAAAAUGGCCAGCUGGCUGGGGCUCCGGGCGUUAGCAGCCUCCCCGUGGCUGUUCCAAAGCCUGAGCCAGCACCCCCAGCCUCCAGCUGCUCCUCCACCGGCUGAAGCUGAGAAAGUCGCCUGCAACCUGGUGGCAAAUCCGGAUGGCCACAGCCGGGCCAUGUUUCAUUUGUAUGCCUGCAGUUUCCUUCUGCUUUCAGAAGGGAGAAAUUCAGACAUCAGCCUGAGCUUUGUGAGAAGUUUCAUUUCUGUGUUUUUCAGACCGCGAUGAGCCGUGCUGGCAGAUUGUCCCCGCAGAAUGGUGUGUGGGGACCGGGCAAGGCGACCAGCGGUCGUAGAGGUUUCCAACGAGGCUGUGGGGGCAUGUGACCAGCAGGAUUCCCCUGAUGGACAAGGGAGGGUGAGCGGCCUCCUCCUGAAUGCGGAGAUUUAUUUCUAUUGGCAUAAACACAACAAAUGAAACCCUGACGGCUUUUCUCGCUCUGAAAGCCAAGAAUAUAUCAUAUCAUUCAUCAUGAAAGCACUGCUCUGGACUAGGUGCUGGAACACAGCAGCGACCCGCGGGGGACUCGUGGGGAACAGAGCAGAGCUGCGAUCGGAGGGAGUAUGAGUGCAGAGGAGAAGUCUGGAUGGCGCCCAGUAGUGCUACGCGAUGUGUAUGCCGCGCGCGGUUCACAUCCCAUCCACUCUCGGGUCUGG